UCACUGCAUAGUUCUCAAAUAUCGCUCCAAACGAACUUAUCUGUAUCAACGGCACUUUGUACACUUGCGAAAACGCCAAAGCUGGUCGAACACAAGCCUCGACCAGCAAAAGAUCGAAAUGCUGCUUCCCUUUGAUGAUCUCUUUCACUUCUUUAUUUUGCAAUUGAAGGUCCACUAAGUCGAUCAACAUUUCUGAGGCAACUCUCAUCUGAGUGAUCAGAUCUUCCUUCUUUCCUUUAGCUGAUUCCAUGAACACCUGCCAAGCCUGGUACGAUAGAUCGUGGACGUCUAUUUCUGUUAAGUUCGCUGGUGUUUCACCUUUCUUGAACAUUGGGUCUGGUGUCAUGACUACCACUUCGUGGCCACGCUUGAUGAGUUCCAAGGUGAUCGGUCGGAAGGUGAUCUGAUGGCUGAUGGAA